rnacentral:rRNA from 1 species
CGAACGCUGGCGGCGUGCUUAACACAUGCAAGUCGAACGGAAAGGCCCUGCUUUUGUGGGGUGCUCGAGUGGCGAACGGGUGAGUAACACGUGAGUAACCUGCCCUUGACUUUGGGAUAACUUCAGGAAACUGGGGCUAAUACCGGAUAGGAGCUCCUGCUGCAUGGUGGGGGUUGGAAAGUUUCGGCGGUUGGGGAUGGACUCGCGGCUUAUCAGCUUGUUGGUGGGGUAGUGGCUUACCAAGGCUUUGACGGGUAGCCGGCCUGAGAGGGUGACCGGCCACAUUGGGACUGAGAUACGGCCCAGACUCCUACGGGAGGCAGCAGUGGGGAAUAUUGCACAAUGGGCGGAAGCCUGAUGCAGCAACGCCGCGUGCGGGAUGACGGCCUUCGGGUUGUAAACCGCUUUCGCCUGUGACGAAGCGUGAGUGACGGUAAUGGGUAAAGAAGCACCGGCUAACUACGUGCCAGCAGCCGCGGUGAUACGUAGGGUGCGAGCGUUGUCCGGAUUUAUUGGGCGUAAAGGGCUCGUAGGUGGUUGAUCGCGUCGGAAGUGUAAUCUUGGGGCUUAACCCUGAGCGUGCUUUCGAUACGGGUUGACUUGAGGAAGGUAGGGGAGAAUGAAAUUCCUGGUGGAGCGGUGGAAUGCGCAGAUAUCAGGAGGAACACCAGUGGCGAAGGCGGUUCUCUGGGCCUUUCCUGACGCUGAGGAGCGAAAGCGUGGGGAGCGAACAGGCUUAGAUACCCUGGUAGUCCACGCUGUAAACGGUGGGUACUAGGUGUGGGGUCCAUUCCACGGGUUCCGUGCCGUAGCUAACGCUUUAAGUACCCCGCCUGGGGAGUACGGCCGCAAGGCUAAAACUCAAAGGAAUUGACGGGGCCCCGCACAAGCGGCGGAGCAUGCGGAUUAAUUCGAUGCAACGCGUAGAACCUUACCUGGGUUUGACAUGGAUCGGGAGUGCUCAGAGAUGGGUGUGCCUCUUUUGGGGUCGGUUCACAGGUGGUGCAUGGCUGUCGUCAGCUCGUGUCGUGAGAUGUUGGGUUAAGUCCCGCAACGAGCGCAACCCUUGUUCACUGUUGCCAGCACGUUAUGGUGGGGACUCAGUGGAGACCGCCGGGGUCAACUCGGAGGAAGGUGGGGAUGACGUCAAGUCAUCAUGCCCCUUAUGUCCAGGGCUUCACGCAUGCUACAAUGGCUGGUACAGAGAGUGGCGAGCCUGUGAGGGUGAGCGAAUCUCGGAAAGCCGGUCUCAGUUCGGAUUGGGGUCUGCAACUCGACCUCAUGAAGUCGGAGUCGCUAGUAAUCGCAGAUCAGCAACGCUGCGGUGAAUACGUUCCCGGG